rnacentral:rRNA from 1 species
UAAUACAGAGGGUGCAAGCGUUAAUCGGAAUUACUGGGCGUAAAGGGUGCGUAGGUGGAACAAUAAGAUGGGCGUGAAAUCCCUGGGCUCAACCUGGGAACUGCGUUCAAGACUGUUGUUCUUUGAGUGCGGUAGAGGAGAGUGGAAUUUCCGGUGUAGCGGUGAAAUGCGUAGAUAUCGGAAGGAACAUCAGUGGCGAAGGCGACUCUCUGGACUGACACUGACACUGAGGCACGAAAGCGUGGGGAGCAAACAGG